CAGUCGCCACGGUAAUACGAAGGGGGCUAGCGUUGUUCGGAAUUUACUGGGCGUAAAGCGCACGUAGGCGGACAUUUAAGUCAGGGGUGAAAUCCCGGGGCUCAACCCCGGAACUGCCUUUGAUACUGGGUGUCUAGAGUAUGGAAGAGGUGAGUGGAAUUCCGAGUGUAGAGGUGAAAUUCGUAGAUAUUCGGAGGAACACCAGUGGCGAAGGCGGCUCACUGGUCCAUUACUGACGCUGAGGUGCGAAAGCGUGGGGAGCAAACAGGAUUAGAUACCCCUGUAGUCCCUGUCUCUUAUA
rnacentral:rRNA from 1 species